UACGUCCAUAUCACAUUGAAACAACGGUUCUCUUGCAAUUACCAAAGGUAAGCAAUGUUGAGCCUGGUCAGUACCAGGUUGGGUGACCGCUUUAGAGUAACAGGUGCUGCAU